rnacentral:rRNA from 1 species
UACGUAGGUGGCGAGCGUUGUCCGGAUUUACUGGGUGUAAAGGGCGAGUAGGCGGUUAUACAAGUCAGAUGUGAAAUACCGGGGCUCAACCCCGGGGCUGCAUUUGAAACUGCAUAUCUUGAGUGAUGGAGAGGCAGGCGGAAUUCCCAGUGUAGCGGUAAAAUGCAUAGAGAUUGGGAAGAACACCAGUGGCGAAGGCGGCCUGCUGGACAUUAACUGACGCUGAGGAGCGAAAGUGUGGGGAGCAAAC